UGCCAGCCGCCGCGGUAAUACGAAUGUGUCAAGCGUUGUUCGGAAUCACUGGGCUUAAAGCGCUCGUAGGCGGCUUGAUAAGUCAAAGGUGAAAGCCCACGGCCCAACCGUGGAACUGCCUUUGAAACUGUCAGGCUUGAGGACAAGAGGGGAUAGUGGAAUUCUGGGUGUAGCGGUGAAAUGCGUAGAUAUCCAGGAGAACGCCGGUGGCGAAAGCGACUCUCUGGUCUGAUACUGACGCUGAGGUGCGAAAGCUAGGGGAGCAAACGGGAUUAGAUA
rnacentral:rRNA from 1 species